rnacentral:rRNA from 1 species
UCUUCCCUCUUUCUUCGUGCCUAAUACAUGCAAGUCGAGCGAACAGACGAGAAGCUUGCUUUUCUGAUGUUAGCGGCGGACGGGUGAGUAACACGUGGAUAACCUACCUAUAAGACUGGGAUAACUUCGGGAAACCGGAGCUAAUACCGGAUAAUAUAUUGAACCGCAUGGUUCAAUAGUGAAAGACGGUCUUGCUGUCACUUAUAGAUGGAUCCGCGCCGCAUUAGCUAGUUGGUAAGGUAACGGCUUACCAAGGCAACGAUGCAUAGCCGACCUGAGAGGGUGAUCGGCCACACUGGAACUGAGACACGGUCCAGACUCCUACGGGAGGCAGCAGUAGGGAAUCUUCCGCAAUGGGCGAAAGCCUGACGGAGCAACGCCGCGUGAGUGAUGAAGGUCUUAGGAUCGUAAAACUCUGUUAUUAGGGAAGAACAUAUGUGUAAGUAACUGUGCACAUCUUGACGGUACCUAAUCAGAAAGCCACGGCUAACUACGUG